rnacentral:rRNA from 2 species
AGGAUCAUUAUUGAUUUUGAUUUGUUACCUUCUGUGCUGGCUCCGGCAUGUGCACGUUGGUGACUUUCAUGCAAUCCCCUUUUGUGAACCUUUGGCCUCAUGCUGGCUUUGGCCGGCAGAGGAUUUUACACAAACUUGAAUGUAACAGAAAAAACUUGUUGUGCGCAAGCACUAAUGUACAACUUUCAACAACGGAUCUCUUGGCUCUCGCAUCGAUGAAGAACGCAGCGAAAUGCGAUAAGUAAUGUGAAUUGCAGAAUUCAGUGAAUCAUCGAAUCUUUGAACGCACCUUGCACCCAUUGGUACUCCAAAGGGUAUGCUCGUUUGAGUGUCAUUGUACUCUCACACUCCAAUCUUGGAGAAGUGGACUUGGGUGUUGCCGCUUUGCUGUGGCUCAUCUUAAAUAUGCUAGUGCAACUCAUGGUUGGAUAUAGUACAGCGUGAUAAGUAUCUUCGCUGGCGCCUCAUGAAGAGGGUGUCUGAUCGGGAGCUCUGUGCUUCAAACUGUCCUGUCUGGGACAAUCUCUGACAACUUGGCCUCAAAUCGAGUAGGACUACCCGCUGAACUUAAGCAUAUCAAUAAGCGGAGGAAAAGAAACUAACAAGGAUUCCCCUAGUAACGGCGAGUGAAGAGGGAAGAGCUCAAAUUUUGAAUCUGGCACCUUUGGUGUCUGAGUUGUAAUCUAGAGAAGCGCUGUCUGUGGCGGACCGUGCACAAGUCUCCUGGAAUGGAGCAUCAUAGAGGGUGAGAAUCCCGUAUAUGGCAUGGACUCCCGUUGCUCUGUGACACACUCUCAACGAGUCGAGUUGUUUGGGAAUGCAGCUCCAAAUGGGUGGUAAAUGCCAUCUAAAGCUAAAUAUUGGCGAGAGACCGAUAGCGAACAAGUACCGUGAGGGAAAGAUGAAAAGCACUUUGGAAAGAGAGUGAAACAGUACGUGAAAUUGUUGAAAGGGAAACACUUGAAGUCAGUCAUGCCCUUUGGGAUUCGGCCUUGCUUCUGCUUGGUUUACUUCCUGUUGGGUGGGUCAACAUCAGUUUCAGUCAGAGGAGAAAGGCUUGGGGAAGGUGGCAGCAUUACGCUGUGUUAUAGCCCCUUGUUGUAUACUUUGACC